rnacentral:misc_RNA from 1 species
GUGCACCUUUUUUUGUCCUGGUUGUUUAUAUUGGUCAGGUUUAACUUAUACUUCAAUCAGAACCAGCCAAAUAGCUAAACAUAUGUGUUCCUUUGCUAUGCGUAAUUGGUUUUGUAAGAUCAGACCUCUAGCUCUGGUAUUCAUGAUACUAAAGCAUGUAUUUUUUCUUCUUUUUUAUAUAGCUAUUAUCAAGGACAUUCAUUGACAGACUGUAUAAAACUGACUAUCAAAACCAGAUGCCAAUCAUACUUAGAGUGGCUGAUAUAUCUAGCACCAAAUAAUUUAUGGAGUUUAGUGGUUCCCUUGUCUUAGAUUGAUUAACUGUUUGUCUCAGUUUGUUUUCUCAAUUUUUCUUUCAUUGUAAGUUGUAACUAUGCAUCUUCUUGAUGCCCUUUUGUGAAUGAAAUACCUUGCUUUAUAACUUAAAAAAAACUGACUAUUAAUCCAUAGCAUGUAUAUUGGAUUUAAUUUAUUGG